rnacentral:tRNA from 1 species
GCGCCGUUAGCUCAAUUGGCAGAGCAAGCGACUCUUAAUCGCUAGGUUGUAGGUUCGAUUCCUACACGGCGCACUA